rnacentral:rRNA from 1 species
ACACCGCCCGUCACACCAUGAGAGUUGGGAAUACCCGAAGCCUGUGAGCUAACUUUACGAGGCAGCAAUCGAAGGUAGAAUCAAUGAUUGGGGUGAAGUCGUAACAAGGUACC